rnacentral:rRNA from 1 species
AGCUCCAAUAGCGUAUAUUUAAGUUGUUGCAGUUAAAAAGCUCGUAGUUGGAUUUCGGGUGGGUUGCAGUGGUCCGGUUCGCUGUGUACUGCUGCGGCCUUCCUUUCUGCCGGGGACGGACUCUUGGGCUUCAUUGUCUGGGAUCCGGAGUCGGCGAGGUUACUUUGAGUAAAUUAGAGUGUUCAAAGCAAGCUUACGCUCUGAAUACAUUAGCAUGGAAUAACACGAUAGGACUCUGGCCUAUCUUGUUGGUCUGUAGGACUGGAGUAAUGAUUAAGAGGGACAGUCGGGGGCAUUCGUAUUUCAUUGUCAGAGGUGAAAUUCUUGGAUUUAUGAAAGACGAACUUCUGCGAAAGCAUUUGCCAAGGAUGUUUUCA